rnacentral:rRNA from 1 species
UACAGAGGUCUCAAGCGUUGUUCGGAUUCAUUGGGCGUAAAGGGUGUGUAGGUGGCGCCGUAAGUCGGGUGUGAAAUUUCGGAGCUUAACUCCGAAACUGCAUUCGAUACUGCGGUGCUUGAGGACUGGAGAGGAGACUGGAAUUCAUGGUGUAGCAGUGAAAUGCGUAGAGAUCAUAAGGAAGACCAGUGGCGAAGGCGGGUCUCUGGACAGUUCCUGACACUGAGACACGAAGGCCAGGGGAGCAAACGGG